rnacentral:tRNA from 1 species
GGGGUUGUAACUCAGUGGUAGAGUGCAUUCCUAGCAUGUGUGAAGCACUGGGUUCAAUUCUCAGCACCA